AUCACACGUUUGUAUUGUUUAAUGCAACUUACUCCGUUGCGUUGUAAACAAGUUUCGUCCUCCGUCGUCGUAGGUAUUUACUACGCAUAAUAGCAUGCAAUCUCCUAUACCAUAACAGGAACAAACAACCAAAUUUAUUAUCUCCAUAUAGGCGCAUAUUGCACGUGUCCCAUCCCGCAAAUAAAGCAAAGAGAACGAUUACUGCCGCGGACCAACACCUUUAGUCGAAAACAGUGCGACUACGUAAUGGCGGCGGCAGCAAAACAUUCCAUAUUUUCGCUGCGGCAAAUUUGAAACUACCGCGGAAUGCGGUAGUGCGACAGCGCGGCAGAACCAGCGACCAAGCUGAUGCUCUGGUGAAGGCAGUUUUUACGUCGCGGGACCACAUCAACUUCUCGGCCAGAUAAGGCGGAACUUUGUAUUUUAUGACCCCAAACAGAAGUGUAGCUAGGUGCAGAUCUCUUCUCGCCUUCAUUUUUAAAAUAUUUGCAUUGUUCAUGUAAGGGGUUACGUGCGUGCGUGAUGGUAUGUUAAAGAUGAACCUCGCGCAUGCAUUUUGCACUCGUUGUAUCAUUUGUUGCGUGCGCUGUAAUAGUCGUGGCCCAUACACAAUGUCCAUGUAAUUAAAUUUAGAGAGUAUCAGUGAAUCACAUAAUUUGAUUCGAACGGCCUCAUUAAGGUAAUUUCUUAUAUUAUAUAACACUUUUAAUCUAUAGAAACAAUUUCUAAUGACGCCUGACACAUGCUUCUCAAAACGUAGCUGUUCAUCCAUAAGGAGACCAAGAUUACGAGCCUCUCUUACACGCUCAAUAAUUUCACCCCUGAUCGCUAGAGAAAUUCUGUAACUUGUAAUUUUCGCUGUUUGUUGCCUUGUACCUAGCACCAUAUAUUUUGAUUUAUUACCAUUUAGUACUAGCGCAUUUGAUUCCGACCAUGAAGCUAUACGUUCUAAAUCCUCAUUUAACUUACACACGGCUGCAUGAGUAUCACCUGGUUUGCAUGAUAUGUAAAUCUGUAUAUCAUCAGCGUACAUAUGAUAUUUACAAAAUUUAAUAUGAUCUAUCACAUCUGCACUGUAGAUGAUAAAGAGGAUAGGGCCUAAAAUAGAACCUUGCGGCACUCCGCGCAUGACGUCACGUGACCUAGACAACAGCUUUGAUCCAGACUGGUUGGAAAUUUCGACACACUGAGUCCGAUUUCUCAGAUAGCUAUCAAACCACUUGAUAGUAGAAUGGCUAAAACCGUAGAAGUGUAAUUUUACUAAUAACAUAUUAAUAUUUAUGCAGUCAAAGGCUCUGGAAAAAUCAAGUAGCGUCAGCAAUGUGCCCUGACCAUUGUCUUGCGCGGAUAGAAUGUCGUCAACAACUUGGACCAUUGCAGUUGUCGUACUAUGUUUUUUUCUAAACCCAGACUGUACAUUAGGAAGAAGUUUAUUGCUUUCUAGAAAAUUAGUGACUUGUUUGACUACAAUAGUUUCCAGGACCUUCGACACGCAAGGCAAUAUGCUUAUAGGCCGUAUGUCUUUUAGGGUAGUUGGGUUAUUAUUUUUAGGAAUAGGCCUUAUUACUGCGUGUCGCCAAUCUGUUGGGAAAGUGUUCGUUUCAAUGGAUCUGUUCACCAUAGCUGUAAUAACUGGUAGUAUAAUAGGCAAAGACAACAGUAACAUGUCCCGUGAUAUUCCAUCAAGGCCGACCGCAUUCGACUUAAGCGAUCGCACAGUUUGCAACACUUCAAACUCGUCCAC